rnacentral:rRNA from 1 species
AGCGAACGUUAGCGGCGGGCCUAACACAUGCAAGUCGAACGCGAAAGGUCUUCGGACUGAGUAGAGUGGCGCACGGGUGAGUAACACGUAGGUAAUCUACCCUUUGGCGGGGGAUAACGUUCCGAAAGGAGCGCUAAUACCGCAUAAGACCACGUGGUCUCCGGACCGAGUGGGAAAAGGUGGCCUCUUCUUGAAAGCUACCACCGAAGGAUGAGCCUGCGUCCCAUCAGCUAGUUGGUAAGGUAAUGGCUUACCAAGGCGAAGACGGGUAGCUGGUUUGAGAGAAUGAUCAGCCACACUGGCACUGGAACACGGGCCAGACUCCUACGGGAGGCAGCAGUGAGGAAUAUUGGGCAAUGGGCGAAAGCCUGACCCAGCCACGCCGCGUGGGUGAUGAAGGCCCUCGGGUCGUAAAGCUCUGUGGAGAGGGACGAAAACCCUGGUUUCAAAUAGGCUCCAGGCUUGACGGUACCUCUUUAGCAAGCACCGGCUAACUCUGUGCCAGCAGCCGCGGU